CAGUCGCCGCGGGAAUACGUAGGUGGCAAGCGUUGUCCGGAAUUAUUGGGCGUAAAGGGCUCGCAGGCGGUUUCUUAAGUCUGAUGUGAAAGCCCCCGGCUCAACCGGGGAGGGUCAUUGGAAACUGGGAAACUUGAGUGCAGAAGAGGAGAGUGGAAUUCCACGUGUAGCGGUGAAAUGCGUAGAGAUGUGGAGGAACACCAGUGGCGAAGGCGACUCUCUGGUCUGUAACUGACGCUGAGGAGCGAAGGCGUGGGGGGCAAACAGGAUUAGAUACCCCUGUAGUCCCUGUCUCUUAUAC
rnacentral:rRNA from 1 species